UACGGGGGGAGCAAGCGUUAAUCGGAAUUACUGGGCGUAAAGCGUGCGCAGGCGGUGAUGUAAGACAGGUGUGAAAUCCCCGGGCUUAACCUGGGAACUGCAUUUGUGACUGCAUCGCUGGAGUGCGGCAGAGGGGGAUGGAAUUCCGCGUGUAGCAGUGAAAUGCGUAGAUAUGCGGAGGAACACCGAUGGCGAAGGCAAUCCCCUGGGCCUGCACUGACGCUCAUGCACGAAAGCGUGGGGAGCAAACAGG
rnacentral:rRNA from 1 species